rnacentral:lncRNA from 10 species
AGAAAAAGGGGAGAAGGAAUGCAACACCCCGGAAACAUGCCAACAUAUAAAACCAGCAGCUAUGAGUACCAUCACUGUGCUAAGAGGAAUGUGGGUUCGAAUUUCAGCACUAGCACUUCUUCACUGGAUGAUAUUAGGCAAGAGGUUUCAUCUCUUUAAGCCUAUGUUGUAGAAAAAUACCAAGCUAAGAUACUGAAUUGUGGUACCAAGAAGGACAGAGAUGAAAUCCUGGAUAAAUGGACACUAAAAUAAAGCAGAUCUGGGUUUGAAUCCUGACUUCAAUACUACCGGUGAUGUGAUUUAUAUGCCUAGGACUUGUGCUUCUAAGGCUCAAUUUUAUGCCUACAAAAUCUUUAUUAAAAUGCACACCUUGAAGAUCACUAUAAUUAAAGAACAUAUAUAAUGUAUAUGUUAUAUAAUAAAUAAUUUGUCUAAUCUUUGCCCCUGAUUCCUGGUAGAUGACCACUAAACUAAGUCUUUGGAAUUUCUCAAGUGAUAGUAGUGUCUUUGUUAUUCAUGGUGGGACCGUCAAGCAUGAAUGGUUAUGAUAAUAGAGGACUCAGGAUGAGAGCUGAUCACCCCAGAAAGACCAACUUUGUAAUGAGAGGAUUGAG